UACGAAGGGGGCUAGCGUUCUCGGAAUUACUGGGCGUAAAGGGAGCGUAGGCGGACAUUUAAGUCAGGGGUGAAAUCCCAGAGCUCAACUCUGGAACUGCCUUUGAUACUGGGUGUCUUGAGUGUGAUAGAGGUAUGUGGAACUCCGAGUGUAGAGGUGAAAUUCGUAGAUAUUCGGAAGAACACCAGUGGCGAAGGCGACAUACUGGAUCAUUACUGACGCUGAGGCUCGAAAGCGUGGGGAGCAAACAGG
rnacentral:rRNA from 1 species